CUUGCGUUUGAAGUCCAGCUCUGCUACCUCUUGCUGUGUGAUAGUGGACUACUUGCUUAAAGUCACCAAGUCUCAAUUUCCUCAACUAAGCUACCUGCGUCAAGCAAAGCUGUAUUCAGUGAUUUCUCCUGAGAUGACGCUCUGCUGGCAACUCACCAUCGACAACACAAAUGUGACAAGAAGUCAUCUAACAACUUGAAACUAUAAACAAGAAGAAAAUAUACCCAUGAAGCUUAAGCAAAGAAGAUGUCCAGGCAAAAAAGGAAGUUACUUUGCUGGCUGGAGUUAUUGAUUCUAACUAUCCAGGGAAAAUAGGACUGCAACUCCACAACAGAGAUAAGAAAGACUAUGUCUGGAAUACAGGAAAUCCCUGCCAUUUGAUUAAAGUCAGUGGAAAUUUACAACAACUCAAUUCAGGCAGGACUACUAAUGGACCAGAUCCUUCAGAAGUCGACAGAAGUCGACAUUUGGAUCACUGCAACAGGAAAAGAACCAUGACCAGCUACCAGCUACAGGCAAAGGAAGUACAGGAUAGAGAGUGAAAGGAAGUAGUUGUAAAUCCAUCUAUGACCACAUGACCAGUAACAGAAAUGAGGUCUCUGUCAAGUGUUACUUCCUUAUUUUGUUAUGAAUAUGUAUGUGUAUGUGUAUAGAA